AAAUAGCUGAUAUCUCAAACAACUAUUGUUAGCUAGCAGGUGCGAAAACCAGUCUUAACUCUGCCAUAUCAGAGCGCUGGGAAGAAAGUGGUCAGUCUGACCUCACGCACGCAUACA